rnacentral:lncRNA from 1 species
CCCUUUGUCUCAUUCAACCACAUCCACCACCUCCACCUCUAUUUCUCUACCUAAAUAUGUUGUAUAUAUGCAUAUAUUUACCUGUAUGUAGGGAGAGGGAGAGGGAGAGGAUUGCUCAAUCGAAAAAACCUAUUCAAUACCAAGCUAGACCCACAAUGUUCAGUAAUAACAAUUUAGAGAGGCAGGGAGAGAUUUGCCUUCAAUUUGCAAACCCGUGGGAAAGGAGAGGGAAUGAUGGCGUAAACGGAUGGAGGUAUAGGGGAAAGGGUUUUGAUUUUGCCAAUCUGAAAACCCAUUCAAUACUAACAAAUUUAAAGAAAGGAUAGAGAAAAUUGUAAUCUCAAACCCUAUUUUGCUCAAUAUGAAACAACCAUUUAAAUUCCAAUCUAGAAGACCCUUAACAUUCAGCACGACCAGGAGCAGCAGCAGAAAAUCUGCACUCUUGGGGUGUUCCCAGCAGUUGGUGGCAAAAAUAUUGAGAGUGGUGGUGGCCCGGUGGCACUCUUGGUCUUCAUCAACAUUCAAUUUUCAGUUAGUCAACAGAAAUGUAACUUCAAAACUCGUGGGAGCUCGUUAAUUUUUUAAAACAUGAAAGGGGACACCUGUAUUAAAGUAAACUCAGGGAGGUCAUUGUAAGUUUCCCAAGAGAUUUUUGUCAAUAAAAUUCAAGGUGUUCCUUUUUUACAUUUUAUUUUCGCAUAAAUGUUACUGAUCUCCCUCAAGGUUCUAAGAAAUAUAAACACAUUCCCUGUAGUUUCAAAAAAUUACAUAAACUCCCUUAUUUUUGAAACAAAUGUCAAAAUUCUCCCUUAGACUUCUUUUUUGUGACAAAAAUAACACAAAAUUUAUCAUUUAAUUUUAGGGCUUUUAAUUUUUUUUUCUCAAUAAUCCUUAAAAUAAUUAAUGCUCUCUUUUUUCCACCUCAAAACACCAUUUUGUUAACUAUUUUAGUUUUAGUUUUUUUAUCAUAGGUUUUUUUUAAUAAAAUAAUUGAUCUAAUCAGUUUGUUUUUUUUAGUAUCCUUAAUAAAAAUCUAUUUACAAAAUAAACUUUACUCACUAAUUUUUUUAAGAAAAUUAAUCUAACUAUGUUCCUUGUAGUAUUCCUAAUUUAAACCUACUAAAAAAUAAACUAUUUAUCAAUUUAUUUUUAAAAAAGAUAGAAUAUUUAUUUAUCUUAUGUGUAAUAUUUGAUGGAAAAAAUUUUGGAAUCCCUAAAUUAAAGGGCAAAUUUGCAUUUUUGCCACAAAAUGAGCUCCAAUUUGAAUCUGAAACAUUAAUUUCAAAUUCAGGGAAGUCAGUGUUUGCUUCUGACACUACAGAGAUGUGACUGUAUUUAUAAAAAACUUAUGGUAAGUUUAGUGAAAUUUACCCUUUUCUUUUUCAUUCACAAAUCUCCCCAUAAAAGGUUGGUUUGUUGCUAAUAUGACAAAAUAUACACUAUACAGCAGCUAUUGAUUAUAAUUUCCAACAUAAACGGCAGAGUCAACUUGGCCUGUGUUAUAGUAUAAAAUCCGAAUUAGAUCCGAAAAAAUCCGGAAUUUAUUAACAAAAAUUCGAAUCUGAAAAUUCAUAUAUUUGAAUUUGGAUUGAUUUGUAUUUUCAUGUGUUUUUCACCUAUUUAUAGGGGUAUUUCCACGGAUCGUAUUGAUUCGGUUUUAAGUAAAAUCAAAUCCCGAACCAAACCCUACAAUUUUUGAAUUUUCAAACCAAUCUAAUCCUUCUAAACUUGGAAUCAGUAAUCCGAACCUAAAAAAUAACUGUUGGAUUUUGCUAAUAAAUUAAUUAAAUUUUCCACUAAACAAUCAGUAUAUAUAAGUUGACAUAAUAAACAAUUCAUGAUAAAUUUUUCUACUAAUACUCUAUAGUGCUAGAUUCUAAGAUGUUACAUAACCGUAGAUGUCCCUAAAUUAAGAUAUCCAUAAAUAAAAGAAAUUAAAAAGCAACAACAAGAUUAUUAGGGUUAGAUUUUUUGUAAAGAUAAUAUACUAGGCUCCAUUUAAGAAAACUUAUACUUAAACCAGCUAACUAAAAAGUCUUUUCUUAAAAGGAUUUAUUAUAUUUGGUCGCAUUUACAACGUACGUAUAAUAUAAAAUAGCCCAACUCCUGAUUAGUCAAAAAAGUCUAUUUUUAAAAUUUUUAAAAUUUAGACUUUUGUAUUCUUAUAGAGGUACAUUUUUGUUUCGUUUAUAUUUUUUAUUGUUGAAUCGUAAGAGUUAAAAAAAAUUGAAUUCAAAAUCUUUUAUUUUAAGAUUCCAAAAUCAAAACGCUUAUCUAUGAAAUAUUUUCUCAUAUUGCAAAUUGAUAUGUUCUCAUUUUAUAUCUACUAAAUCCUCACAAAUUGAUAUUUUAUCAACUUCAAAAUUUGUGUUUGAGGAAAUUCUCACAAUGCAUAUUUGGGAUGUAUUAUUCUUUUCUUUCUUUCUGAUAAAUAUAUUGAUAACUUUUCACCAGUUAUUGACAUUGAUAUUGAUAUUUUCUCAAUGUAUAUUUUAAAUUACGUCAUAUUUUUUUUUUAAUUUUUUGAAUGACUUUGUAAUACGGGGGGGGGGGGGGGGGGGGGGGGGGGGGGUGAUAUUCCAUAACUUCUCAAUUUGUUUUCGAGAUCUUGAAUAAUUUAUAAUUUCUCAUUUUUUAUUGAAAUAUGGACAACUUGAUGUUUUUUAUUGUGGCAUAUUUUUGAUGUAAAAAAAAUCGAUUAUCAAUUAAUGAUACUUUCUCAUCAUUGUUAGAAUUGAUAUUGAUAAUUUCAAGUUCACAAAAAAAUUAUUUUAGAUAGAGUUUUGAAUGGAGGACUUUCUAGAAUGCAAGUCAGACUUUAAUUUUUUAUGUAUCUAUAAGUUUGAUACAUUUGGAUUGGAAUCAAAAAUACUAUUUUUGGUAUUUAUGGUUGAAUUGUUUAUCAAAUGAGGAAGUUUCACCAGAUAUAAGGUGAUAAUUCAUUGUAUUAAAUAUAUAAAAAAUUAUAUUAAUAUUUUUAUUUCAGUUUGGAAUUGGAACCAGUCACACAAAUUCAUAAACUGAACCACCUAUAUCAAUUUUUUAAGAUUUUAAAACCCAAAUCGAACCGACUUUUAAAAAGCGAACCAAACUUAUUGAUUCGGACCGAACUGGACUGAUUUUUUGGUUCCACUGAAUUUUUGGGACAUACCUAACUUUUCAUAGAGCCAAUAGUGUCAUUCAUUACACAGAAAAAAGAACUUCCAUUUGAUUUCAACAUGGGAACUUUGCUUUGUUUGGUUUAAUUUAAAAAAAAAUUAAUUGUUGAAUAAUCAAAAUUGAUAAUUUUUCGACCUCCUUGCUUAACCAAAGAAAUUUUAACAAUAUAAUGUUUUUUUUAUUCGAAUUUGGAAAAAAAAGUGCACUAAGUCUAAAAAUAUUUUUUGGUUUGAUAAUUAGAUAAUUUUUUCUUCGUAGAUUUGUGUUUAUAUUAAAAAAAAUAAUAUUUAUAUUCUUCUCAUCACGAGAUAAUCAACAAAGUAAAAAAAUUUUGAUCACCGGUGAAAACAAAAUCAAAAAAAAUGAAAAAAAACAAAAAAUUACAGUUAACUAAUAAAUCUUUUUGAAAGUUAAACCAAAUAAUCUGUUUUUUUGAACGCUUCAGAAAUUCACUUGCAUAUUUGUUUUCCAAUAUCUUGAGAUUUUUGUUUUAAAACCUUUUCUUUGUCCCCUAUUUUUUAUUUUGGAUUUAUUCCAUUGAACUCUUGGUAUGAAAGGGACAAGACGACCUAUUUUUCUUCUAGUAAUUUCUCCGUUGUUUUCUGCACCGACUGAUUUAUAAGGCUAGAAAUCUCCUUACCGGCUUUGACGUCUUCUCUCCCCUUAAUUGCCACUAUCUUACGACGUGAUAGUUGCACGGAUUUUGAAUAUCCGAAGGCAAAAUGGGUUUUGAUUUACAAUACUCGGAGGGGGGUGCAUUAUUUCCUUCUGUUCUUCCAUAAACGUUAAGUUUGAGAUAGAGUUUUUUGUCACAGUCUUGUUCAAUAGAAAACCUUUUAACCUAAGAUCCACUAGACUAGCAGGUCUUACUUUCAAUAUAAUAUCAAAAAAAAAAGACCAUUUGCAUCAAAUGGGGAUGUAGCCGCAGAUGGUAGAGCGCUCUUUCGCUUAGCAUGCGAGAGGUACGGAGAUCGAUACCCCCGCCAUCUACAAAGGAUUUUUGACAUUUGCGCUUAUUUCACCAAUUAGAUUUUUUUAUAUUGUAUUAUGCUAAAUUUAUUUAAUAUUUAAGUACUUCUUAAUAAGGAUGUUUGGUACAGUCUCUUAGAAAAUAAAAAAAAAUUAACAAUUAUAGAAAAAUGAACUGUCCAUUAGCUUUAGAGAAUUUUUUUUUUUAUCAAGAAAACAAUAUACAUAAUUUUUUAAGUUCUCAAAAAAUCGCAUUCAUGUAGGCCUUAAUCAAAUGAAUUUGUAUCUAUACAUUUUUUUUUUUUUCAAAAAUGGAUUAUGUUUUUUCACUCUAGUUUUAUUAAAUGUCCUUUACGUUUUAUUUGUCUAUGAUUCAAGUUGUAAUCUUACCAUAUCAAAAACGCUCCUCCAUUCACUACACUUUACUUAUUUCUUCUCCUUUGUUGUAGGUUAAUUCAGAACAUUUACACAAAGUUGCACAAGUAAGAACAAAUAUAUGAAAUGUUAAAACGAUGAAAAUCAAUUAUUUUAUUUCAAAUCUUGUUUGUAGUUUAGAUGAAAAUUUUAUAUUUUCAAAUUCCUCUCAAAAAAAAUUUAAAAAAAUAAAAUAAAAUUUUGAUUAAAUAGGAAAUGGCGAAAAAAAUAAAAAAAACCAAAAUAGCUAAAAAAGGCCAAUUUUUUCCAAUACUCAAAAAUCAAGUAGCACGAAAAAAAAAAUUCAAAAAUAUUACCCCAAAAACUAGACCUAGGACCAUUGAGGUAAUUUUUUCCUUAAAAAAAAUAAUUCUUUUAAACGUUUUAUACUAAAUUUAUUGAGAAAAUUUACACGAGUGCAUGAAAACAUACAUGAACAUCAUACUGACAAACAUUAAUUAUUACAUUCCAUAAAAUUAUGUUACAUUGGAAAACUGUCCAAUGCCAAAUUUAAGGUCUCUUCUUCUGUUUUUUUUUCCAGGGAAAUAGGAAAUUAUACCUUCUCCAGAACUGAAUCAUACUCGUGGACAAUGGACUUUUUCUCUCUCAUCAUUUUCCCCACCGGAAAGGAAAAUCACACUCAGGAAAAUCGGUUCCUCUUUCCUCCACAGCGCGGACUUCAUGCUCCCACUCGACUCGUCCAAAACCACAUACAAUAGAACAUCGCCGAGCUAAACACGAUCGCGAACCGCGUGAUCCACGCGCCGUAGGCCCGGUGAGGGAAAAGAGCGGCGAGCGAGAGCUGGAAGACGAACCCGACGUGAUAGCCGAGUACAAGGACCAGGAUCGCGAGUUCAGCGCUUCCCGCCUAGCGACUUCUCGUUGGGGGCAGAUUCGCGAACGCCUCCAGCAGUGCUCGAGCGAGAGGGAGGCCGAGUAGGCGAAGACGAUGAAGGCCGCCAUGGGGUAGUCGGCGUGAGUGCACGCGAGGUUAGAUGACGCGGCGCAGUUGCAGAGGCGGAGGAGGUGGGUGGCUGCGGGUAAGAAGUGGCGUUGUGUCGGGGUACGGGCUUGUUUGGUCUAGGGUAAUCCAGGAAACAUGGUGUGGAAAUUGGUAAGAAUUAGAGCUGAGUGUUGUGAAUGUGUGAAUUUGAUAUAUAAAUAUGAAGGGGUUGUGAAGUGAAAUAUAUGAGAAACUGCGAUUGAUAUAACAAGUAUUUUCAAUCCGAAGACCGAAGAUGUUUAGAACUACACGGUAGUGGUAGAAAUGGGUCGCCAUUAUCUCCGAUAAAAUGCUUAAAAUAAAAAUUGUUAUUAAAAAAGAUUUUAAAAUAAGUCACAUAUUUAAAAUUGAAUUCUUACAAAAAAGAAAGAGUUUAUUUACUACUAAAAAAUAAAAAUUAGGAGAUAAAAUAAUACCUCCUACACUUGGGGAGAGAGACAUAUUCACCCAAAGAAUAUAGGGUGUAGAUGGGGGACGUCAUUGGACCUCUUUACUUUUGAAUUUUUCCACCCUAUUCUAUCUAAGAAGUUAAAAUAAAGAGUGAGUUAGAGAUUCUCUAAAAGCAUCUUCACAAUAAGUGUAAUAUCCUAACUCCUCAUAAUAGCUUUUAAUAUUUUUUAUACUUUUAUGAUCUUCAUAUUUUUUUUAAGUAAUAAUAAUUUUUGGGUAUUUUUUUAAAUAACUUUUUGGACAAAUUUUAAGACACACACGCAAAAAAACACUAUUAUUUUCUAAAUUUUUUCUUAAAACUUCGAAUUGUUUCUUGGUUAUUAUAGAGGUGGGAUAUAUAGUCUUAGUCAACACACUACUAUUUUUGCUAAACAUGAACAAGGGGAACUCACCAAGGUAUGAAAAGGGGGCCAAGUGUAAUUUGCUCUAGUACUCCUCCAGGCUAGUAUUGGCCUUGUUCUUGGUAUUUCUAUAGGGCAGUGAGAGAUGGGGAAGUUAUUAUGGAGAGCAAAGGACAACACCUUCAAUUUGUUUUUCUUUCUGCCCAAACCACAACAUGAACGCACAACACACCACAUCUAUGAGAUAUUUGAACGAUAAAGAGAAAUUAUUAAGGUGUUGAUCAGUUAUAAUAUGAGGUUAGGACGUGAAAUCAAAACAGUUAGCUAAAUUCAACCAGAUGAAAAUAUAAUAUGUUGUUUAUGGCUGACAGAUCAGAUAUCUAAUGAUCCCGAUUCCGAUUUAAGGUAAUCAGGAAAUAUACAAUAUAUUUUCUAACUCCAAAGUAUUCUAUAAAAUAUUCAAAUUUUGUAUUUCUCUUGAGCAUGUGUGCUAUCUAUUGACUUCAUGAUAUUUAUUGGAAAUCAUGAUAGGGUGAUUUUCUUAAUAUGAGAUAAAAUGCUAUGGUAUGGAUUGAUACAUUACCGAGGGACCUGGCUAAUAGCUUGACCAACAGUUUCAAAAAAAGCCAAAGAGCUAGUGAUGCGGGUGGGGUGAGCUGACCACCAGUGAUGCACGAAGAAAGACCGAGAUGAGGUCCUACAUAAUUGAUGAUUCGUUACGCUCUUCUAAAUUAUCGUUGAGCUAUUAUUAAAUUGAGCAUAUCCUCGUAUAUUAUAUAAGUUUUUGAUAAUUUAUUUUUUAGGGCAGGACAUAGAUGGGUAGUACGAAAUGAGUUGAUAAAAGAUUUAAAAUUUUUAAUAUUUUGUAUUAAAUUUGUUAGGAGACAUUGUAAAAAAAUAUUUGGAGAUGAUUAAAUUUGAGAAACAUAACGCUCUGAUCUUUAUAUAUAAGAACACGAUUGACGAUUAUUAAUGGCCCAUUGUGAUUAAGAGAGAAAAAUAGGAUGGAUCGUUAUAAAUUUGGUUAUAUCACGACCCAACCCAUUUAUAUAUGUGGGGUUCACUUUUAACAAACGUUACCCUAAUGGACGACCAGUGAGCUUCACUCACUAAAGGUACUACUCAACAGUUUAGAAAAUUUCUACAUUUUAUAAUACUUGAACACAAAUAAAAUAUUCGAAAGCCUGAUAACGUAACCAAAACUGAAGUGUAAUAUAUAUAAAAGUGUACAAAAUACAUUCAUCUUGCAUUGUAAACAUUUCAACUACUGUCUUGCCACAAGUUAUAAACAAUCGGUUUCAAAAAAACAUACAAGUUCAAAUGAUAACAUCAUUUAUUGUACAUAAAUAUGACAACAAAAAUGGUAAGGUCAUCUGUCUUCAGUAGCGCUCCACCUUAUUAUCUGGGAAAUUAUUACGUUUACAAAUACGUCUUAAACAUUAGGUUAGUGUGAGUCAAGGUUAUUAUAAUCCAAAUUAUGAGCCCAUAAAAAUUAUAAAUCAAGAAAUUCAUCAACAUGAAAUAGUUUUACUUUGUCAAGAAUUUCUAUCACAAUCGUUGAAUCAUCUAGGUCCAUUUAUCUUGAUUUUAAAUCAAGAUUUCAAAACUAUAUUUGUUUGACAUUUGCAAUACAUUAUCAGCUUCAACGAACACCAGUAAGUAGAGAUCGACCCUAACAUUUGCAAGAUCCUCUGGUUAUGAUCCCACCCUUAUUACCAAUUUUUGAAAUCCGAAACCGGUGAGCGAAACAAAAAAAUGAUCGGGUCACCGGGUCAACCGUAGGGCAACCGUUAUCGAACUAUGACGUCAUAAAUAUUAUAUUAUAUAUACAUUUAUAUUUUAAACAAUGAACAUCAAGCAACCAAAAUGUAAGAAAAAAAAUUAAAAAUAUUACGGUAGAAUACUUGAAAAAUUGAAUCAGGCACCCAAAUUGCAAAAACUUUUGUAGUCGUAGGGUGAGGAGAUGGAAUUUUGCAAGGGGUCUCUCCCCCUCGUGCUAUGAUAUUCCUACCCUCGCUAUGAAUCCAUCAUAUCCCUAGGCUAUCCUAACCCUACCUAUGAUCUCAACAUAUCCCUAGAUAUGAUAUCCCUAGGCCCUAACCCUAGCACUAAAACCCCAGCAGCGUUUUGCAAGGACAAACACUCUAGUCCAGGCCAUUAAUAACGCCAUCAGCAUGACUCUCUCUCUCCUCCCUCCCUGAUGAAGUUGUCGAAUACCGAGGCAAGCCUCCGACUAGCUCCUAUCACUAUCACACCUCGUCUCUCUUUCCCCCCUCUUCAUGUUUGGAUUUAAGAACUGCGACCAAAAAAACCUAGACUUGUGUUGUGUGCGCGCGUUGUUCCUCUCUCCCUUCUCUCAAUUUGUGCGCGUCUUCCCCUCCCAUUUUCUCAAAUUGGAAAUAGUGAAUCGGCGGUCCAAUGACCGGUUCCCAAUCGUGGGUUACCGGUUCAACUGUGGUUCUGAUGGGUUUGACCGGAUUUUGACCAAAACGGAUUUUGACUGAUGAUCGGACGGUUCUUUGCCUGAUCGACGGUUCACGGUCGAACGGCAGUACGAUCCAGUUUUAAACAUUGUUUAUUACAUCACCUCUCAUAUAUUCUUUUUCCCUUGUAGUCGGGGAUCGUUCGAAUUAUGUGUCAUUUAAAUCAUAUUUUUAAAAGUAAUCAUUUUUUAUAUUUCAUUGGUACAUUCGAAAUAUAGCAUGUAUUUAUCCAGUAAAAUAUUAUCAUGUUUUCAAUAAUUCAAACAACAAAACAUACUUUUAUAGUAAAAAACUCUUUUUAAAAUAAGUAAAAUAUAACAAAACUACCGAGAGCAUGUCCAAAUCUUCCUACCUCACAGUGAACUAACGUUCCUAAAUCCCGAUAAUACAUAGAAUUUCACCUUUUUUAGUGCAUUUAUAUCUUUAUAUUCGUUUAAUUUUAAUACUAAUUGGUAGGAAGGAAUUGGGUUACAAGACAUGUUUGUGUAAAAAAAUAAAGUAUAAGUUUUCAGCCUCAAGGUUGAACCGGUUUAACUUGGAGUUUAACCGAUCAACCAAAAAUCAAAUUAGCUCUCGAAAUUUAUAUACAAGCCAAUUUGGCAUUUACUUAGAGUCUGAAUUUGAAAGAAUAUUUUGAAUAAAAGUUGUAGAUAAUUUAUUAUAUUUUCAAUGCCAACUAAAUUGAGUAAUUUGGAUAUCAUAUGAGAAAGUUAUGAUCAAAAUACAAGUUAUUAUUCUUAGUGGAUAAAUAGGAUUUCAAUCUAUUUGAUGAAUUUGAAUUUUAAAAAUACGUAUAAAUGCGAUAUUUUGGAGUAUUUGUAGGGUUUAGAUAUACUAAACAAUAUAUUUAAUAAUAAAAUUUAAAAGAAAAGAAAAAACUAAAGAAAUGAAAAGGAAUUGAAUUUACCUCAAUAAGAAUAUCGAAGUAUUUUUCAAAUUUUCAAUUCUUUGAUCUUCUUUUCUUCUUUUGCUCUUUCCUAUGAACUCUCUCUCUUUGUAUUUUCAUGUUCCUUUUCUUUCCUCGGUUAUGUUACUCUUUCUCUCUUUAUUUCCGUACCUCUCUCUCUUUUCUUUUGAUUUUUGAUUUUGUUUUUACUCAGCAGUCUCUUCAAAGGCAACAAGCAUAGCAAGAAAUAGCUGCUGGCAGGAGCUAUUUUGGAUAGCCAUGUGGCGCCUAAUUG